rnacentral:SRP_RNA from 1 species
AGCCGGGGUGUUAGCGGUACCCUGUACCUACAAUCCGCUACAGUAGGGGUGAUGUUGUGCCGAGGGCGUAUUCUUGUGAGGCUGCCUUUGGUAAGUGGCGUUGAUAUUUGGGUCUCACGCAACUGGACUCCGUGAACCGUGUCAGGUCGGGAACGAAGCAGCACUAAGCGGAAUCUCCCGUGUGCCGUGAGGGUGCCUGGGUUGAGUUUACUGCCAAAGUAACGCUUGGGAGAUGCGUU